CUCGAAUUAAUACCGCAUACGACCUACGGGAGAAAGGGGGCAACUUGUUGCUCUCGCUAUUAGAUGAGCCUAAGUCGGAUUAGCUAGAUGGUGGGGUAAAGGCCUACCAUGGCGACGAUCUGUAGCUGGUCUGAGAGGAUGAUCAGCCACACCGGGACUGAGACACGGCCCGGACUCCUACGGGAGGCAGCAGUGGGGAAUAUUGGACAAUGGGGGCAACCCUGAUCCAGCCAUGCCGCGUGUGUGAAGAAGGCCUUUUGGUUGUAAAGCACUUUAAGCAGUGAAGAAGACUCCAUGGUUAAUACCCAUGGACGAUGACAUUAGCUGCAGAAUAAGCACCGGCUAACUCUGUGCCAGCAGCCGCGGUAAUACAGAGGGUGCAAGCGUUAAUCGGAAUUACUGGGCGUAAAGCGAGCGUAGGUGGCUUGAUAAGUCAGAUGUGAAAGCCCCGGGCUCAACCUGGGAACGGCAUCUGAUACUGUUAGGCUAGAGUAGGUGAGAGGAAGGUAGAAUUCCAGGUGUAGCGGUGAAAUGCGUAGAGAUCUGGAGGAAUACCGAUGGCGAAGGCAGCCUUCUGGCAUCAUACUGACACUGAGGUUCGAAAGCGUGGGUAGCAAACAGGAUAGAUACCCUGGUAGUCCACGCCGUAAACGAUGUCUACUAGUCGUUGGGUCCCUUGAGGACUUAGUGACGCAGCUAACGCAAUAAGUAGACCGCCUGGGGAGUACGGCCGCAAGGUUAAAACUCAAAUGAAUUGACGGGGGCCCGCACAAGCGGUGGAGCAUGUGGUUUAAUUCGAUGCAACGCGAAGAACCUUACCUGGUCUUGACAUAUCUAGAAUCCUGCAGAGAUGCGGGAGUGCCUUCGGGAAUUAGAAUACAGGUGCUGCAUGGCUGUCGUCAGCUCGUGUCGUGAGAUGUUGGGUUAAGUCCCGCAACGAGCGCAACCCUUGUCCUUAGUUACCAGCGGUUUGGCCGGGAACUCUAAGGAUACUGCCAGUGACAAACUGGAGGAAGGCGGGGACGACGUCAAGUCAUCAUGGCCCUUACGACCAGGGCUACACACGUGCUACAAUGGUAGGUACAGAGGGCAGCUACACAGCGAUGUGAUGCGAAUCUCAAAAAGCCUAUCGUAGUCCAGAUUGGAGUCUGCAACUCGACUCCAUGAAGUAGGAAUCGCUAGUAAUCGCGGAUCAGAAUGCCGCGGUGAAUACGUUCCCGGGCCUUGUACACACCGCCCGUCACACCAUGGGAGUUGAUUGCACCAGAAGUGGUUAGCCUAACCUUUUAGGAAGGCGAUCACCACGGUGUGGUUGAUGACUGGGGUGAAGUCGUAACAAGGUA
rnacentral:rRNA from 1 species